AUGCUAAUGGUGCCUGAGUCAGGUGACACAGGGCAUGACCUGAAGAUGAAAACGAACCACCAGAAAGAACAAGAGUCCCUCCCUUGGUUCCUAUUUCCCCAAUUCCUCCUGCCCCUAUCUCCUUCCCACAUUUGAGGGUCCACAAGGAGGCUCACGAAGACACACAGCUGAGCCUGGUUACAGAGGCGGCACCAUCAGCACCCCAGGCUUUAUGUCCAUUUUAUAAUGGGUGAAACCCUCUGGAAUUAAUAUCUGAUGAAGAAAUAAACCUGUUAA
rnacentral:lncRNA from 1 species